AGAGGUGUGGCUCAAGAGGUAGAGCACCUGCUUGGUAAGCAGAAGGCUCUGGAGUUCAAACCUCAGUACUGUUG
rnacentral:tRNA from 1 species